UACGAGGCCUUUCUCAAGGCCAUCAACAGCAGCAAAAAGAACGGCG
rfam:Saprospiraceae bacterium KD52 Scaffold2_5, whole genome shotgun sequence.